CGGAUUAAAACCGGAGACCAAUUCAGAUGAUUAAACAAGCACCAUUUUGAAUCCAAGCUUUCGAAGUAACGACCGCGGCCAUCUUUGAUGUAGGAAGAGCGGAUCGAUGAUGUAAUCACUCUGCCGAAAUUUAGGUCUCAAUCGAAAUUGACUCUGUUAAGGUGCUCGAGGCGCUGAAAAUACCGGGAGAGAAAACUACUGUUUGAUUUCUCCGGGAGAGCAGGAGCGGUAUGGAUUGAACGGAGUAAAUACCGGCCUUAGAGACUUUGGGUGCAAUGAGCAGGUUAGUUCAGGACAAACAAACCUACUGCACUUCUCUGAGGACGCUACAGAGUUACCUGACUCGAACCAGAUGCAUGAUAUACUGUAUAUCUGGACUUUGUAAACGCAUUUGAUGGAUGUACCACACGGGAGGCUCUCCAUCUAAAUGAAAUCAGGAAUCACAGA